CUCAUUCCUUAGUUAAGUCAAACCCACCAUUGAGCAUAAGUGAAGCCACCAUUGGACCCUUAUCUAAUAGAUCUUAGGCCCAACCUCAUCUGCACUCCAUAGCAUCUCAUGCCAAUAGAGUAGUUGUUUUUCUCCUGAUACAACUAAACCAUUGUAUCUAGCCGAGAACAAUCAAUAUCAGAGUGGGCACGAUACUCUACAACGAUGGAAGACCCUU
rnacentral:lncRNA from 1 species